rnacentral:rRNA from 1 species
AACGAACGCUGGCGGCAUGCCUAACACAUGCAAGUCGAACGAGACCUUCGGGUCUAGUGGCGCACGGGUGCGUAACGCGUGGGAACCUGCCCUUAGGUUCGGAAUAACUCCCCGAAAGGGGUGCUAAUACCGGAUAAUGUCUUCGGACCAAAGAUUUAUCGCCUUUGGAUGGGCCCGCGUUGGAUUAGCUAGUUGGUAGGGUAAAAGCCUACCAAGGCGACGAUCCAUAGCUGGUCUGAGAGGAUGAUCAGCCACACUGGGACUGAGACACGGCCCAGACUCCUACGGGAGGCAGCAGUGGGGAAUAUUGCACAAUGGGCGAAAGCCUGAACCAGCAAUGCCGCGUGAGUGAUGAAGGCCUUAGGGUUGUAAAGCUCUUUUAACCGGGAUGAUAAUGACAGUACCGGGAGAAUAAGCCCCGGCUAACUCCGUG